AUUGAACGCUGGCGGCAGGCCUAACACAUGCAAGUCGAACGGUAACAGGAAGCAGCUUGCUGCUUCGCUGACGAGUGGCGGACGGGUGAGUAAUGUCUGGGAAGCUGCCUGAUGGAGGGGGAUAACUACUGGAAACGGUAGCUAAUACCGCAUAAUGUCGCAAGACCAAAGAGGGGGACCUUCGGGCCUCUUGCCAUCGGAUGUGCCCAGAUGGGAUUAGCUUGUUGGUGGGGUAACGGCUCACCAAGGCGACGAUCCCUAGCUGGUCUGAGAGGAUGACCAGCCACACUGGAACUGAGACACGGUCCAGACUCCUACGGGAGGCAGCAGUGGGGAAUAUUGCACAAUGGGCGCAAGCCUGAUGCAGCCAUGCCGCGUGUAUGAAGAAGGCCUUCGGGUUGUAAAGUACUUUCAGCGGGGAGGAAGGGAGUAAAGUUAAUACCUUUGCUCAUUGACGUUACCCGCAGAAGAAGCACCGGCUAACCCCGUG
rnacentral:rRNA from 1 species